CCUACAUGAAGCUGGAAUUGCUAGUAAUCACAGGUCAGCAUACUGUGGUGAAUACGUUCCCGGGCCUUGUACACACCGCCCGUCACACCAUGAGAGUUGAGAAUACCCGAAGCCCAUGUCAAAGUGGUCGAAGGUAGGCUUGAUGAUUGGGGUGAAGUCGUAACAAGGUAAC
rnacentral:rRNA from 1 species